rnacentral:rRNA from 1 species
AGAGUUUGAUCAUGGCUCAGAACGAACGCUGGCGGCGCGUUUUAAGCAUGCAAGUCGAGCGGCAAGGGUCUUCGGGCCCCUAGAGCGGCGGACGGGUGAGUAACACGUGGACAAUCUGCCCCCCGGCCGGGGAUAGCCCAGGGAAACCUGGAUUAAUACCGGAUGAGACGGGACCCGCGGAGGCGGGAUCCGGGAAAGGCGCUGCGGCGCCGCCGGGGGAUGAGUCUGCGUCCCAUUAGCUUGACGGCGGGGUAACGGCCCACCGUGGCGACGAUGGGUAGCCGGCCUGAGAGGGUGGACGGCCACAUUGGAACUGAGACACGGUCCAGACUCCUACGGGAGGCAGCAGCUAAGAAUCUUCCGCAAUGGGCGAAAGCCUGACGGAGCGACGCCGCGUGAACGAAGAAGGCCGUGAGGUUGUAAAGUUCUUUUCGGGAGGGGGAACAACCGUGGCAGGGAAUGGCCGCGGGAUGACGUGAAUCCCGGAAUAAGCCCCGGCUAACUACGUGCCAGCAGCCGCGGUAACACGUAGGGGGCGAGCGUUGUUCGGAAUCAUUGGGCGUAAAGGGCGUGCAGGCGGUCCUGCAAGUCCGGCGUGAAAGACCCCGGCCCAACCGGGGGGGCGCGCUGGAAACUGCAGGGCUUGAGUACAGGAGGGGAUGCCGGAAUUCCAGGUGUAGGGGUGAAAUCUGUAGAUAUCUGGAGGAACACCAAUGGCGAAGGCAGGCAUCUGGCCAUGUACUGACGCUGAGACGCGAAGGUGCGGGGAACAAACAGGAUUAGAUACCCUGGUAGUC